rnacentral:rRNA from 1 species
GGAAGAGCGGGCAAUUACUCAAUCAACGAUGACAAGUUACUAUGCCGUACUUAUUUGCAAGUGUCGAGGGAUCCAUCCAUUGGAGGUGAUCAAAGUAGAGACGCGUAUUGGGGGCGAAUGAAAGAACACUUUGAUGCUCACAACUUGAGUGGAAUUGACCGCUCCGAGAGAUCACUUCGGUCCCGAUGGUCGACAAUCAACUCGGAUUGUCAAAAGUGGGCGGCCGUACAAAAGGCAGUUGACAAGAUUAAUCCAAGUGGCAUAAAUGAGGAUGAUCGAAACUUGUUCAAAGAAGAGACAAGGACAACCAAAAAGGGGAAGAUCAAGAAAGGCAGGGUCUUUACCUUGCCUCAUUGCUAUGAAGUGUUAAAGGAUGAUGAGAAAUGGAAGAAGCGUGAUGGUUUGGAGGAUUUGCAUUUGAGCAGCAAACGGAAGCGAGCAAUUGAGAUGAAUGAUGAUGAGGAGGAGGAGGAUGAUGCAUCAAGUGAUGACGGCAAGAGAAGCCCCACACCCAACUCGGUUUCAUACUCGAAGCCAAAACGACCGAAUGGGUGCAAGAAAGACAAAACCGAAAAGAAGAAGAGGAAAGGAGAUGAUGAGCUCAAAAAUGCUAUGGAAGCUAUUGUGAAGGCAAGGGUCAAAGCCAAUGAGGUGAGGAAAAUGGCAAGGAACCAAGAUGACGUGGCCGAGGAGAGGAGGUUGGCGGCCGAGGAGAGAAGGGUGGCGGCCGAGGAGAGAAAGGUGGCUUUGGAGGAGAGGAAAGUGAGCAACGAGGAGCGAGCUAAAUUGUUGGAAUGGGAGAAGCACUUAUUCUUCUUGGACACAUCUAACCUCAAUGCGGCGCAAAAAGAGUAUGUCAAUCUUGCCCAACAAGAAGUCUUGAUCCAAAAAAGAGCC